GGCAGUGGUGGCUGAACGAUUAAGGCUUUCGGUUACUGAUCAGAAGUUCAGGGGUUCAAGCCCCAGCACUGUCA